rnacentral:rRNA from 1 species
GAGUNCAGAAGGGGAGAGUGGAAUNCCAUGUGUAGCGGUGAAAUGCGUAGAUAUAUGGAGGAACACCGGUGGCGAAAGCGGCUCUCUGGUCUGUAACUGACGCUGAGGCUCGAAAGCGUGGGGAGCGAACAGGAUUAGAUACCCUGGUAGUNCACGCCGUAAACGAUGAGUGCUAGGUGUUAGGCCCUUUCCGGGGCUUAGUGCCGCAGCUAACGCAUUAAGCACUCCGCCUGGGGAGUACGACCGCAAGGUUGAAACUCAAAGGAAUUGACGGGGGCCCGCACAAGCGGUGGAGCAUGUGGUUUAAUUCGAAGCAACGCGAAGAACCUUACCAGGUCUUGACAUCCCGAUGCCCGCUCUAGAGAUAGAGUUUUACUUCGGUACAUCGGUGACAGGUGGUGCAUGGUUGUCGUCAGCUCGUGUCGUGAGAUGUUGGGUUAAGUCCCGCAACGAGCGCAACCCUUAUUGUUAGUUGCCAUCAUUCAGUUGGGCACUCUAGCGAGACUGCCGGUAAUAAGCCGGAGGAAGGUGGGGAUGACGUCAAAUCAUCAUGCCCCUUAUGACCUGGGCUACACACGUGCUACAAUGGCUGGUACAACGAGUCGCAAGUCGGUGACGGCAAGCUAACCUCUUAAAGCCAGUCUCAGUUCGGAUUGUAGGCUGCAACUCGCCUACAUGAAGUCGGAAUCGCUAGUAAUCGCGGAUCAGCACGCCGCGGUGAAUACGUUCCCGGGCCUUGUACACACCGCCCGUCACACCACGAGAGUUUGUAACACCCGAAGUCGGUGAGGUAACCUUUUAGGAGCCAGC